CCACAGGGGGUGAUAGAGGAGUGUGUGAAGAGGCACAUACAAAGAAGAGCUGGUGCCCUGCCUGCUGCUUGUUUUCUUCCUCUCUGCUGCUCUGUCCUCUCCUCUCCUUUCUGUCAAGUUACGGAGUCUUUAUUUUUGGCUAGUUACGUUUUGCUGUGUUACACUGAGAAGCACACACAAAAUGAAAACAUUCUUCCCGAAACUCGAGUCCUAAGAAAAGAGGAAGUCUCCUCUCUGCUCAGCUGACCUCAGCUAUCAAGUCUUUUUUGGACUACCUGCAUCUUUUCCUCUGUGGCCUGGCAAGGGUACCUUGUAAGAGGAAAGUGAUUGAAGAACAGGCAACAGAGUCAAUGUUAGAGGCAUCACCUGUUCCUCUUACUAGGGAACCAACAUGGAGAAUGAGCUGUCUACAGGCUACAUCUGAGCAGGGGUUCUAGAUAGAAGGAAAAGCAAAAGUACCCGGCACUUUUUCUUGGAGGAACUGAAAUGAUCGCAUGCCCAGAAAAAUUACCCUUGACAAACAAGUCGCCUGUAGCUAGCCAUUAUAACUGACAAUGGUCCUUAAGAAUGCUCCUUAGGAUGGAGUUUAUUUUAGUUUUUGGUCCUGUGAAGCAUUACUGCAUGGUAAGCCCGUGUUUCUUUGUUUUGUUUUGAUUUUUGUUUUUUGUCCAGUCCAGGAACUCAUUUCUGGUUGUUACAGAGACACUUUUCUCUCAAACUGAUCAUUAAAUAACUCUUGUUUUAAGUGAAUCUGUACUUAAUCAGCUGUGUAUAUUUUUCUUUUCUUUUUUGGGUGGGGUUACAUACCAACACCUUAUGUGUAAAAAAAAGAAAAACAAAAAGCUACAACCAGCUUUAAAAAACUGUUAUAUCUUCAUUUUAUUUGUACUACAUAAAAUGUGUUAAUAUCUAUUGUGAAUGCUACGUGUGAUCUAUGAGUUAUUAGAAAAUAACACAAACCUUUCACCUCACUGAGUGAUGAUAGUACAUUCAGAAUACUCAUGUCUAGCCAGGUAGCUUUACUGGGAUAUCCCAACACUGUCAGGACUUUGCUAUACAUUAAGAAUGACAGAAUCUAUCCUGACAUGAGCUUGGAUUACUUUCUUACAUGAUGCCUUUCUCAUGGAUGGAAAAUGCAUCUAUUGAUUUGUUUUAUACUCAUGUCUCACAGGGACCACCCUAAACAUCGAAUAAAUGAUCCUUGUUAAAACAGUUUUACUUUAUAACUUAAUGAUUCCUAAUCUUACUUUGUUCAUUUAGUAUUUAUCUGUUAUCUAAUUGACUGAUUUCUUGGGGAAGGGUGUAGGCAUGGAAGCAAAUUGUUCAGGCCUUCAAGAGUGCUUGUGAGCAAAUGAUCUCUUCUAACGUGAUGACAUAAAUUUGGACCAUCCAGAGAACCUAGACAAGCAUGUUCUAAAAUGAUUUCUUUCUUUCUAUAAAUAACACCCUUUUGGAUUCUAUUAGAUGUUCUGUGUACACAACUCAAGCAUGUUUUCUUAACCCCUUCGUGUGUACAUAACAAGCUGAUCUUUCAACGUUCCCUAGUCAACAAGCACAAAUGUUGUCUAUGCACACUAACUCACACUCCCCUUUCCUCAACGUGAAAACUCCAGCAUUAAAAGAAAACUAGCAAUCAAGAGCAGGAGGAGUUCCUGGCUGGAAGCUGACUCACUUCUUUAAAGUGAGUCUACUUCUCUGUGUCCUUCAGGAUCAUAAGUUACACUCACUGAUGAUUUGGGUAAGACUUAAAUAUAUUUGGUGGGGGGCAUUUGCAGUCCUUUUUUCUCUUCUUUAGUCACAUUAAGGUACCGAGGUCAGAUGGGUAGUAGCUUGGGACCGAGCAGGUCUGAACGACCACAUCUGGUAGUACUCACUGACUCACAAGUGACUCUGGUUCAAGCUUCAAGAAUUAGUUAGAGUUUAUUUCACUGUUUUUGGGCGUUACAAUAUUUGCAGUUGUUCUUUUCAUGACACUCUUAAUGCAGCUCCAAUGCAGCAGCUAUAGAAAAGCAACCAGAGGGAUCAGUUGCUUCUCAAAGGAGUCAUCACCUAAGUUAGUGCUUCUGUUGCCACCCUGUUGGGGAAGGAGCUGAAUAGUUUCCUCCAAGAAUGAAAUCUGCAGUGAAGCAUCAGUGUGAGGGAUGGAGAAGAAAAAGCAGUCUGUUCAAUACUGAAAGUUACCAAAUUUCCUGAUAUUUGCCAAUUCUCCAUCUUUACAAAUAAAAAUUAUUCUCUUUUAAUCUCCACUGAUUGAUUGAUUGAUUGAUUGUGUGUGUGUGUGUGUGUGUGUGUGUGUGUGUGUGUUCAGGGUCCAGAUGCCAUACAGCACAUGUGGAAGGUAAAGAACAACUUUCAAGAGUCUUCUGUCUCCUUCUGCUCUGGGGGUUCAGGGGGUCAAACUUAGGUUGUCAGGCCCAGUGUUCAAGCAAUGUUAUCUGCCAAGCCAAUCUUACCUUCUCCAUUUUUGAACAAUUUUCAUUGCCUACAACUACAGAUACUGACAUGCAUACACCACAUUAUUUAAUGGUUAUGUAAUUUUGUCGGCUAAAAUGCUUAUGGUACUAAUUUCCUAGAAAAUGAGAUUUUUGUUGUUGUUGUUGUUGUUUCCUAUCUCUGUAUCUUAAUGGCUAGGAAGAAAAGUCAUUCCUAUCUUGGAAUUCCUCUUCAGUUCCUUCUGUCUGUCCUUUCUCCCACUGUCACUUUCCUCUCCACCCUCAUCUCUUUGUUACAUGAAAUAGAUGAACACUGAAAGAUGUGUGAGCAUUAGGAUGUGUGUACUCAGUGUUGAGCGUGGCUGAAGACAUCACUUUGAGGUUGCUUUGCCUGUUCCAACACUGAAGAUGCUUUUUCUGCAUUUUUGGGUAUCUGCAUGAGGACUAAGGAAAAGAUGACAGUGCUGGUCAUCACUGUGUAAACAGAGGACAACUGAAUUGAGACCUACUCCAGAGUCUUAAAGGAGUACGAAAGCUUGAUGUUUCCCGGGAUUCAGACCUGCUCUUCUCUUCUGGACUGAUCUUUGUUUUUAUUCAAUGGCACAUAAUGUGCAAUUCUCCUUUUUAGUCCUCUUGCCGCUCAAGAGGACUCAAGGCAAGUCCUCUCAAGGCAUUCACUUACUGCACCAUCAUGGUGGGAGCCAUAGCUGGAUUCCAAUUUAGGGGUAAGUCUUAUCCUGGGUCAUCCCUGUAAUAGAACUUCUCAGUCUUCUGCAUGAGGUAGAUUCUUAGAUCAUGACAUAUAGUAGCCAAUCUCAGGACCAUGACUUUAGAAGAUAU